rnacentral:sRNA from 1 species
AAUGUGCAGGCAGCAGUCUAUCUUCCCAGGAGGGUCUCUGCCCCUGAGGCAAUAGGGCAGGCAGGCUGAGGGGGGCCAGGGGCUCUCUUGCGGAAGUCCCCCAUGCUGGCCCCUUGACCCUCAUGAACCCUGCUGCAACCCUGUGAUUCAGGCCGCGUCAUUCUACUGCAGCAAGAUGGGCUUUGAACCUCUAGCCUACAGGGGCCUGGAGACCGGUUCCCGGGAGGUGGUCAGCCAUGUAAUCAAACAAGGGAAGCGCUCAACCCCUGGAACAAAGAGAUGGGCGAUCACCUGGUGAAACACGGUGACGGAGUGAAGGACAUUGCGUUCGAGGUGGAAGAUUGUGACUACAUCGUUCAGAAAGCACGGGAACGGGGCGCCAAAAUCGUGCGGGAGCCCUGGGUAGAGCAAGACAAGUUUGGGAAGGUGAAGUUUGCUGUGCUGCAGACGAAAGGAGAAGUGACUUACCCAAGAUCACGCAUCUGGUUAGGGUCAGAUGCAGGUUGGAACCCGGGGCUAUGUUAGCGCUAUGAAAUGUGCUCUGUCCUCGGCGGGGAUGGGUGCCCAGGGGCCGAGCCAGGCUGUUUUCCACCCGUAGUAUGGGGACACCACACACACCCUGGUGGAGAAGAUGAACUACAUCGGCCAAUUCUUGCCUGGAUAUGAGGCCCCAGCGUUCAUGGACCCCCUACUUCCUAAACUGCCCAAAUGCAGUCUGGAGAUGAUCGACCACAUUGUGGGAAACCAGCCUGAUCAGGAGAUGGUGUCCGCCUCCGAAUG